AGAGAGUAUAAUUAGUCUCUCA
rnacentral:siRNA from 1 species